rnacentral:rRNA from 1 species
UACGUAGGGCGCAAGCGUUGUCCGGAAUUAUUGGGCGUAAAGAGCUCGUAGGCGGUCUGUCGCGUCUGUUGUGAAAACUCGAGGCUCAACCUCGGGCUUGCAGUGGAUACGGGCAGACUAGAGUGCGGUAGGGGAGACUGGAAUUCCUGGUGUAGCGGUGGAAUGCGCCAGAUAUCAGGAGGAACACCCGUGGCGAAAGCGGCUCUCUGGGACGGUACUGACGCUGAGACGCGAAAGCGUGGGGAGC